rnacentral:tRNA from 1 species
CUGGGUGUUGCAAACAGUUAAUGCACUCAGCUGCUAACUGAAAGGUUAAAGGUUCAACUCCACCCAGA